rnacentral:rRNA from 1 species
GGUGAGCGCUGUGCGGUCACCCCUAUCACAUGCAAGUCGCAGGGGUAUAGAUAGCUUGCUAUCUAGAGACCGGCGCACGGGUGAGUAACGCGUAUGCAACCUACCUUAUACAGGUGAAUAGCCCGGAGAAAUUCGGAUUAAUGCACCAUGGUUUAAUUUUGUGGCAUCUCAAGAUUAAUAAAGAUUUAUCGGUAUAAGAUGGGCAUGCGUAUCAUUAGCUAGUUGGUGUGGUAACGGCAUACCAAGGCAACGAUGAUUAGGGGUCCUGAGAGGGAGAUCCCCCACACUGGUACUGAGACACGGACCAGACUCCUACGGGAGGCAGCAGUGAGGAAUAUUGGUCAAUGGAGGCAACUCUGAACCAGCCAUGCCGCGUGCAGGAAGAAUGUCCUAUGGAUUGUAAACUGCUUUUGUACGGGAAGAAACAUCGCUACGUGUAGCGACUUGACGGUACCGUAAGAAUAAGGAUCGGCUAACUCCGUGCCAGCAGCCGCGGUAAUACGGAGGAUCCGAGCGUUAUCCGGAAUUAUUGGGUUUAAAGGGUUCGUAGGCGGUUUAUUAAGUCAGUGGUGAAAUUUCUUAGCUUAACUAAGACACGGCCAUUGAUACUGGUAGACUUGAAUAGUAUGGAAGUAACUAGAAUAUGUAGUGUAGCGGUGAAAUGCUUAGAUAUUACAUGGAAUACCAAUUGCGAAGGCAGGUUACUACGUACUUAUUGACGCUGAUGAACGAAAGCGUGGGGUAGCGAACAGGAUUAGAUACCCUGGUAGUCCACGCCGUAAACGAUGGAUACUAGCUGUUCGGUUUUCGGACUGAGUGGCUAACGAAAGUGAUAAGUAUUCCACCUGG